GUUUCCUCCCCUGGUGUCCCAUCGCGGCUUGGGACCCGACAAGAUGGGCAAGAAGGGCAAGAAGGAGAAGAAGGGCCGCGGCGCGGAGAAGACGGCCGCCAAGAUGGAGAAGAAGGUGUCUAAGCGCUCGCGGAAGGAGGAGACGUGACUGAGCCCAGUCGAAUCACACUGACUGGAGGAAAGCUGAGCGGGCUGUGGCUCCGCAGUGGGUCCUGGGAACAAGUCUCAUGUGUGCCUGCUUGCUUGCCCUAGGAAGACCUGGAAGCGCUCAUAGCCCAUUUCCAGACACUCGAUGCCAAGAGGACUCAGACUGUGGAAGCUCCGUGCCCCCCGCCCUCACCAAGACUUUUUUGUAUAACGAGCUCUAUGUCUACAAUAUCAGAAAGGACACCUGGACCAAAGUUGACAUCCCCAGUCCACCUCCGAGGCGCUGUGCUCACCAGAUCAACAGGCGGUCCUUCGGUCGGAGUGGACAUCGGAUGGUGGCCUGGAAGAGACAAUUGAUCCUUUUUGUGGGCUUCCAUGAGAGUGCACGGGAUUACAUCUACUACAACGAUGUGU
rnacentral:sRNA from 1 species